GACAGAGGUGCCAAGCGUUAGGCGGAAUCACUGGGCUUAAAGCGUGUGUAGGCGGGUGCCUAAGUACCUUGUGAAAUCCCCCGGCUCAACCGGGGAACGGCUGGGUAUACUGGGUGCCUUGGGUCAUCUAGGGGCUGCCGGAACAAAUGGUGGAGCGGUGAAAUGCGUAGAUAUCAUUUGGAACGCCAACGGCGAAAGCAGGCAGCUGGGGGAUGCACCGACGCUGAGACACGAAAGCCAGGGGAGCGAACGGGG
rnacentral:rRNA from 1 species